rnacentral:lncRNA from 1 species
GGAUGCCUUUUAUAUGUCAGAGACUCAGAUGACUGUUUCAACCUACUGGAAAAAAUUGUAAGCACCUCUUAGUUUGGUUAGAAAAAAAUAUUAAUUUUCUUUUGUGAUUUCUUGUACACAUUUGUUUGUCUUCCCUAGUCACUGUUGACCUUAACCAAUGCAUUGUUAGUGGAUUUAGAAAAUCCAUGCUAUCUGUAAUAGUCUCACAUAAUGCUGUCUCAGAAAAGUUAAGUUAUUAAAAAGCAUAGAUAUCAGAUAGAUUCCAGGGGGAAAGUUGAGCAGUCGAUUCAGAGCUGUACUUUGUCCUGUUAUGAUCAAAACUUUAUUUGCAGGACGAACCCCUAAUGCAGGAGAGGCCACUGAGCAUCUUAAAUGUAGCCAAAAGCUCGAAAGACUAGUGAUAAUGGCGCAUGUCUGAGGAGGGGUCCCUCUCCCACUUGUAAAGCCACUAAACCAUUGGGCGGAGAUCAGCUAGCCUUCCAAGUCAACAAGUAAGUAUCUUUUCCUGAAUCUGCAUGGGCCCUAUAGAGAAUCGCCUGUGGCUAAGUAAGUCGCUGGAAACGUAUUUUGCAUUACCUGUUGAAUAUCAACCCAUGCUGUCAAGUCAACAGAUGUGUCUGCCUUAAAGAUUGCAGCUGUUGCUGCACUCAAAGUUGGAACAUGCGCUCAUACAACCCCGAGCAUUUGUAGUUAGCGAGUGGUCCAUGAUAAGGCUGUAUUGUUACCAUCUCUGUUAUGGAAACUUUCUGUCUAAUCAAACCUUAGCUUUACUCCUUUGGUGCCUAUACGCAGAUAGUUUCGAGAGGUUCUUUUUGACAAAAGCAUACACUGAAAUGAUUGUAGUAG